rnacentral:sRNA from 1 species
AAAGACUCAGACACUCAGCCAGAGACAGCAGCCCCUGCCAGUGCCCCACCAUUACCCCCCAUAGAGUCCCCACCAGCACCAUGCCGGGGGUACCAGGGCCUGGGCCUGAGCUGGCCGCAGCCCUUGAGGAGCAGUUGGGCCGGGCACUGGAGGAGCUGCGGGCGGUGGCUGAAGCAGGCCGGGUGGCAGUGACCCAGGCAGCCGAGGUAGCUGUAGCCACCGUGGAGCCGGUGGCCCGGGCAGCUGAAGAGCUGCGGGCAGAGAGAGCAGCACUGAGCCGGCGGCUGGAUGCACUGAGCAGGCAGGUGGAGGCUGCCGAGGAUGCUGGGACCCCCGUGGCCCACCCACCUGCCUUCAGCACCCGCCGCCGCUCCUCCACCGGCACCACCCGCAGCACUAGUCUCAUGGAACCAGAGCCAGCAGAGCCUCUCGCUGCAGCAGUGGAAGCGGCCAAUGGGGCUGAGCAGACCCAAGUGAACAAAGCACCAGAAGGGCGGUGCCCUCUGAGCGCUGAGGAGCUGAUGACUAUUGAGGAUGAAGGAGUCUUGGACAAGAUGGUAUAGCCAGAUCCGGUGGGCUGGGGGUUGGCAGAGGCCAGCAGGCACCAGGUAGGCAAUGAUGGGCUCUAUAUGCAGCUGGAUCAGAGCACGGACUUUGAAGAGCGGAAGCUCAUCCGGGCUGCACUUCGUGAGCUCCGACAAAGGAAGAGAGACCCAGAUACUCCCUCCCGCAGCUACUCUCUCCUUGGAUCCAGUUGCCUCUCAAAGUACUGUCAACGACUCCUUCCCCGAAUCCAGAUACUCCUUCUCCCUGCUGCUCCUCUCUCCCUGAAGUCCACUGAUGGCCAUCUUAGCCUCUGCCCCAUCCAGCUUCCCUUUUCCUGGACACAACUACUUCCUCCUCCAGAUAGUUCUUCCCUGGACACAUCUAUUCAUUCCCUUAGAUUCUGGGUUCAAUUGCUUCUCCUCUCAAACACUCUCAAUUACUCCUUCUCUGAAUCUAGCUGCUUCUGCCAGGGCCCACUGAUGGCCACCCCAGUCUCUAUCUCUACCCACCUACUUCUAUUUUAAGCCCAGUUAACCCCCUUCACUAGCUUCUCUCCCAGCUACUCUUCCCCUGGAUCAGAUUGCUUCUCAGAUCCCAUCAAUUGCUCCCUUCCUGGAUCUAAAUAUUCCUGCCUCCAGCUGCUCUUCUCCUCCAACCAAAGACCUGCUGAUGGCCCACCCAGCUACUUCCUCACUCAGCUUCUCCUUCCUUGGACUCAGCUACCCCCUCACUAGAUCUAGAUACCCCUCCUGACUUAGCUACUCAUGCCUAUAGAAACCCUUUUUGGAUCCAUACCCCUUUGAGUUUAGCUAUUCCGUAUUCUCUAGUUUCUGCCUGAGUCGAUCAACCCCUUCCCACACUCCAUUCUCUGUCAAGUUAUGGCUGUCCCCUCACCCCAGCUGCUCCUAGAGAGGCCCUUGUUACCUGUGUCAUUCAUGUUUCUAACAAGCCACCCUCCACCCCGUCUUGUGUGCCCCAUGCACCUGUGCAUCUGUGCUGUGUGGGUGUUGGUGGCCCUUUUGCGCAUGCAUGGGGCAUCCCCUGCCCAGACCAGCGGGACAAGGAGCGGGAACGGCGGCUGCAGGAGGCACGGGGCCGGCCAGGGGAGGGGCGCGGCAACACAGCCACUGAGACCACCACGAGGCACAGCCAGCGGGCAGCUGAUGGCUCUGCUGUCAGCACUGUUACCAAGACUGAGCGGCUCGUCCACUCCAAUGAUGGCACACGGACGGCCCGCACCACCACAGUGGAGUCGAGUUUCGUGAGGCGCUCGGAGAGUAAGGCCACCUGGCGUCGCCCUGUGCCUGCCUACCUGUCCGCCCACCUCCUCCGGCUCUUCCUUGAGCUCUCUCUCCAUGUCUUCAACUGUGCCGUCACUUUCUCUUCUCUGCCUGCGGCUAUCACCACCCCUCCAUACAGCCUCCCAUCCCAUCUCCUGAUGUCCAGCCCAGGCCCUCACCUGGUGCCCCUUCCCCUUUUUUGCAGAUGGCAGUGGCAGCACCAUGAUGCAAACCAAGACCUUCUCCUCUUCCUCCUCAUCCAAGAAGAUGGGCAGCAUCUUCGACCGCGAGGACCAGGCCAGCCCACGGGCCGGCAGCCUGGCGGCGCUCGAGAAACGGCAGGCCGAGAAGAAGAAAGAGCUGAUGAAGGCGCAGAGUCUGCCCAAGACCUCAGCCUCCCAGGCGCGCAAGGCCAUGAUUGAGAAGCUGGAGAAGGAGGGCGCGGCCGGCAGCCCUGGCGGACCCCGCGCAGCCGUGCAGCGAUCCACCAGCUUCGGGGUCCCCAACGCCAACAGCAUCAAGCAGAUGCUGCUGGACUGGUGCCGAGCCAAGACUCGCGGCUACGAGCACGUCGACAUCCAGAACUUCUCCUCCAGCUGGAGUGAUGGGAUGGCCUUCUGUGCCCUGGUGCAUAACUUCUUCCCUGAGGCCUUCGACUAUGGGCAGCUUAGCCCUCAGAACCGACGCCAGAACUUCGAGGUGGCCUUCUCAUCUGCGGAGACCCAUGCGGACUGCCCGCAGCUCCUGGAUACAGAGGACAUGGUGCGGCUUCGAGAGCCUGACUGGAAGUGCGUGUACACGUACAUCCAGGAGUUCUACCGCUGUCUGGUCCAGAAGGGGCUGGUAAAAACCAAAAAGUCCUAACCCCUGCUCGGGGCCCCACGGAUGCUGGUGGACUGUGUGCCCCUGGUGGAGGUGGACGACAUGAUGAUCAUGGGCAAGAAGCCUGACCCCAAGUGUGUCUUCACCUAUGUGCAGUCGCUCUACAACCACCUGCGACGCCACGAACUGCGCCUGCGCGGCAAGAAUGUCUAGCCUCCCCGCCCGCAUGGCCAGCCAGUGGCAAGCUGCCGCCCCCACUCUCCGGGCACCGUCUCCUGCCUGUGCGUCCGCCCACCGCUGCCCUGUCUGUUGCGACACCCUCCCCCCCACAUACACACGCAGCGUUUUGAUAAAUUAUUGGUUUUCAACG